AUACGGAGGAUCCGAGCGUUAUCCGGAUUUAUUGGGUUUAAAGGGUGCGCAGGCGGGAGAUUAAGUCGGCGGUGAAAUUUUGCAGCUCAACUGUAAAAGUGCCUUCGAAACUGGUUUCCUUGAGUGUAGAUGAAGUAGGCGGAAUUUGUGGUGUAGCGGUGAAAUGCAUAGAUAUCACGAGGAACUCCGAUUGCGCAGGCAGCUUACUAAACUACUACUGACGCUCAGGCACGAAGGCGUGGGGAUCAAACAGGAUUAGAUACCCUGGUAGUCCACGCAGUAAACGAUGAUUACUAGCUGUUUGCGAUACAAUGUAAGCGGCUGAGCGAAAGCGUUAAGUAAUCCACCUGGGGAGUACGUUCGCAAGAAUGAAACUUAAAGGAAUUGGCGGGG
rnacentral:rRNA from 1 species